rnacentral:lncRNA from 1 species
GCCAGAGAGUGGUGGAGCCAUGCGGAAUUCAUUGCAGAGAGUGGAGUAGGGUAGUGGCCAUUGUCGUGACUUGCCAGGGAGUUCGGAUCUAUCAGUGGGAGCUCGACUGGGAUGUCUGAUGGAGCGGAAUGGCUCUCUAUCUCAUCGAUCUAGGAGAAACUUGAUGGAUUAUUUGAUGAUUAAGGAGGUCUGGGGUUGGGUUGAGUGAAGGUAGGUCUAUUUGAGUUU